UUCUCAAUUCCUUUCUCUCUGGGCACUCCAUAAAAUCUCAGUUAAAUACGCGUUUUUCCGACGGCUUAUUACCGACGGUCUAGGAGCCUUUGAUAAUGCGCAGGUGAAUUAAAUUACCGAGGGCUUAGAGGCCCUCGGUAAUGUCUUCGAAGAAUUUUGGCCAAAAUCGACCUAUUCUUCGUCGUCCAAAAACAUUGCCUCCAAAACCCUUCCCCUUUGCUCAUCCAAUACUAAAGUCGUAGCCCUAAUCUUGCUCUCCUCUACCAAAAUUUCAGAAAUUCUCCUCUCCUCUGCCCAAAUUUCAGAAGAAGG
rnacentral:lncRNA from 1 species